rnacentral:rRNA from 1 species
UCAGGCCUAACACAUGCAAGUCGAGGGAGAAUGUUGGAUUCGUCUGACAAGAAACCGGCGCACGGGUGCGUAACACGUAUGCAACCUACCUUUAACUGGGGUAUAGCUCAGAGAAAUCUGAAUUAAUCCCCCAUAAGACUACGACAUGGCAUCGUGAUGUAGUUAAAGCUCCGGCGGUGAAGGAUGGGCAUGCGGUACAUUAGCUAGUUGGUGAGGUAAUGGCUCACCAAGGCUACGAUGUAUAGGGGGUCUGAGAGGAGGAUCCCCCACACUGGGGACUGAGACACGGACCAGACUCCUACGGGAGGCAGCAGUAGGGAAUAGUGGUCA